rnacentral:rRNA from 1 species
UACGUAGGCAGCAAGCGUUGUUCGGAGUUACUGGGCGUAAAGAGUGCGUAGGCGGUCCUGUAAGUUUGGUGUGAAAUCUCCCGGCUCAACUGGGAGGGUGCGCCGAAGACUGCAGGGCUUGAGUAUGGGAGAGGUAAGCGGAAUUCCUGGUGUAGCGGUGAAAUGCGUAGAUAUCAGGAGGAACACCGGUGGCGAAGGCGGGUCUCUGGGCAACUACUGACGCUGAGGAGCGAAAGCGUGGGGAGCGAACAGG